UACGGAGGGGGCUAGCGUUGUUCGGAAUUACUGGGCGUAAAGCGCACGUAGGCGGCUUUACAAGUCAGGGGUGAAAGCCCGCGGCUCAACCGCGGAAUUGCCCUUGAGACUGUAUCGCUUGGACACGGGAGAGGUGAGUGGAAUUCCGAGUGUAGAGGUGAAAUUCGUAGAUAUUCGGAAGAACACCAGUGGCGAAGGCGGCUCACUGGACCGUAGUUGACGCUGAGGUGCGAAAGCGUGGGGAGCAAACAGG
rnacentral:rRNA from 1 species